rnacentral:rRNA from 1 species
GUCUUUUUGAAAUAAUUUAAAGUCUAAUCUGCCCACUGAUAGAAAAUUAAAGGGCUGCAGUAUAAUGACUGUACAAAGGUAGCAUAAUCAGUAGUUUUUUAAUUGAAAACUUGUAUGAAAGAUUUGAUGAAAUAUAGACUGUCUCUAAUUUAUAGAUUGAAUUUUAUUUUUUAGUAAAAAAGCUAAAAUAAAUUUAAAAGACGAGAAGACCCUAUAGAGUUUUAUAUUUAAUUUUAUUUUAAAAUUAUAUAAAAAUUAAUAUUAAAAAUAAAAUUAAAUAUUAUAUUGGGGUGAUAGAAAAAUUAAAUUAACUUUUUUUAAAAAUUAAACAUAAAUAAAUGAUUAUAUGAUCCAUAGAUAAUGAUUAUAAGAAAAAAUUACCUUAGGGAUAACAGCGUAAUAUUUUUUUUUAGUUCAAAUAAAAAAAAAAGUUUGCGACCUCGAUGUUGGAUUAAGAUAAAAUUUAAAUGCAAAAGUUUAAAAAUUUUGAUCUGUUCGAUCAUUAAAAUCUUACA